rnacentral:lncRNA from 1 species
ACUCUAUCAAAAGCAGACAAGAAAGGCCAAUGAGAGAAGCGUCUUACUGGGCCUAAUGCUUCGACCUCCCAAUAAGGAGGUCUUCUUGCCUCAGUCUCCUGGGAUUAAAGGCAUGUACUACCUUGCCUGGGCCCAAGCUUUUCAUGGCCACUGUGCCUCAAGAUCUCCAUGUCAAGAUCCAGGUCAGAAACUUGUGUCUUCCAGCCUCAAGAUCUGGAUCACAGUUCAUUCCAGAUAUCGUCAAGCUGACAAGGAAUAGCCAUCACAGUCCUCCUACCUCUGCUUCUCGAAUGGCGUGGGAUUCCAGAGGUGAGCUAGGCUCUUCUCACCAUGUUCUAUGAGGCUCAAAUCUUUAAUUUCCUGAAGAAAACUCAUCUAAUACUUGAGCCGUGGUGGUCCUCUCUGGGUGGACUGAGGAGCCUCUGUAGGUAGGAUGUUCCUGUGGGUGGAACUCUCCAGGAUCCACCACUCAGACCCUGAAGCAGAUGGGCCCCCUGCGUGUAAAGUUGGCACAUGAUGUUCCCAAGGGCAACCCAAGGCUGGGUGGGACCUGUGUGGCCAGGGAAGGGAGCCUCAGUACACCAGACUCAGUAUCCUUCACUUUGUAUAGAAGGCGGAGCUGAUAGCAGAAGUCCUUGGAGAGGAGGGCUAGUGAGGUGACUCAGCAGGUGAAGAUGCUGGCUGCCCUACCAAACUACUAGUCCGUGUGGGACUGUCCUCGGGGCGAUGCGGAAGUGCCUGCACUGCCGGAGGCGCUAGCUGAUGGAGGCCAACACCAAAGAAUGACCAUCAUCUCCCCCACCAACGCUGGCGAACCUUUCUCUUUUCUCCUGGGUAAUAAUACUGUGUCCCAGGCUUGCUCAGCGGGUGGCCAUAGGAGUCUGGGAGACCCGGUCCAGUGGACAGGGUUUUGGGGUUCCGCUUAGAGUUGCUUCAGUCUAUAGAAAGCUGAGCCGGGCUCUGCCUCUUCUAUCGCAUGACCCCCACCCGGUGGUGGUGUCCCCAAGAGGAGAUCACCCGGAUUCCCCCCACCCCCUUCUACCUCUGCGCAGAGGGAACGCUGCUACUUUCGGAGUUGUACUCCUUGGUCCGGGAUAUUCCUAGACCCUGCGCCUGAGGGGCUGGGAGCGCAGCGCUUUGUUAUUCAGCCGGAAAGAUGCCCCAAGAAUUAAAAGACUUUAUAAAAUGUA